GCCAGACUCCUACGGGAGGCAGCAGUGGGGAAUAUUGCACAAUGGGGGGAACCCUGAUGCAGCGACGCCGCGUGGGUGAAGGAGUAUUUCGGUAUGUAAAGCCCUAUCAGCAGGGAAGAACAAUGACGGUACCUGACUAAGAAGCACCGGCUAAAUACGUGCCAGCAGCCGCGGUAAUACGUAGGGGGCAAGCGUUAUCCGGAUUCACUGGGUGUAAAGGGAGCGUAAACGGCCAUGCAAGCCUGGAGUGAAAGCCCGGGGCCCAACCCCGGGACUGCUCUGGGAACUGUGCGGCUGGAGUGCGGGAGGGGCAGGCGGAAUUCCUGGUGUAGCGGUGAAAUGCGUAGAUAUCAGGAGGAACACCGGCGGCGAAGGCGGCCUGCUGGACCGCGACUGACGUUGAGGCUCGAAAGCGUGGGGAGCAAACAGGAUUAGAUACCCUAGUA
rnacentral:rRNA from 1 species